AACGAACGCUGGCGGCAGGCCUAACACAUGCAAGUCGAACGCUCUCUUCGGAGGGAGUGGCGCACGGGUGAGUAACGCGUGGGAACCUACCCUGGGGUACGGAAUAACAGCGGGAAACUGCUGCUAAUACCGUAUACGCCUUUAGGGGGAAAGAUUUAUCGCCCUGGGAUGGGCCCGCGUCCGAUUAGUUAGUUGGUGGGGUAACGGCCUACCAAGGCUUCGAUCGGUAGCUGGUCUGAGAGGAUGAUCAGCCACACUGGGACUGAGACACGGCCCAGACUCCUACGGGAGGCAGCAGUGGGGAAUCUUGGACAAUGGGGGCAACCCUGAUCCAGCCAUGCCGCGCGAGUGAAGAAGGCCUUAGGGUUGUAAAGCUCUUUCAGUGGUGACGAUGAUGACGGUAACCACAGAAGAAGCCCCGGCUAACUCCGUGCCAGCAGCCGCGGUAAUACGGAGGGGGCAAGCGUUGUUCGGAAUUACUGGGCGUAAAGGGCGCGUAGGCGGUCUGUGCAAGUUAGAGGUGAAAGCCCCGGGCUCAACCUGGGAAUUGCCUUUAAAACUGCUGGGCUUGAGUCCGGAAGAGGAUGGCGGAAUUCCCAGUGUAGAGGUGAAAUUCGUAGAUAUUGGG
rnacentral:rRNA from 1 species